GGUCGGCCCUCCAAAGGCCGACGUGCUGAAGAGGCUUGUCUUUCUUGCCGGGCGUGCGGAUCGGGAAUCAUCCCCUUCCAAACGAUGGCCAUCCGUGAACGACGCGUAAGGCGCGAUCAACGCCUUUGCUCGUUUUCGUCUGGCCACGGCGCAUCGUCGGAUCGAAGUCUUCCC
rfam:Methylocystis bryophila strain S285, complete genome.